AGUGAACGCUGGCGGUAGGCCUAACACAUGCAAGUCGAACGGCAGCACAGUAAGAGCUUGCUCUUACGGGUAGCGAGUGGCGGACGAGUGAGGAAUACAUCGGAAUCUACUUUUUCGUGGGGGAUAACGUAGGGAAACUUACGCUAAUACCGCAUACGACCUACGGGUGAAAGCAGGGGAUCUUCGGACCUUGCGCGAUUGAAUGAGCCGAUGUCGGAUUAGCUAGUUGGCGGGGUAAAGGCCCACCAAGGCGACGAUCCGUAGCUGGUCUGAGAGGAUGAUCAGCCACACUGGAACUGAGACACGGUCCAGACUCCUACGGGAGGCAGCAGUGGGGAAUAUUGGACAAUGGGCGCAAGCCUGAUCCAGCCAUACCGCGUGGGUGAAGAAGGCCUUCGGGUUGUAAAGCCCUUUUGUUGGGAAAGAAAAGCAGCAGGUUAAUACCCCGCUGUUCUGACGGUACCCAAAGAAUAAGCACCGGCUAACUUCGUG
rnacentral:rRNA from 1 species